GAUGAACGCUGGCGGCGUGCCUAAUACAUGCAAGUCGAGCGAACGGACGAGAAGCUUGCUUCUCUGAUGUUAGCGGCGGACGGGUGAGUAACACGUGGAUAACCUACCUAUAAGACUGGGAUAACUUCGGGAAACCGGAGCUAAUACCGGAUAAUAUUUUGAACCGCAUGGUUCAAAAGUGAAAGACGGUCUUGCUGUCACUUAUAGAUGGAUCCGCGCUGCAUUAGCUAGUUGGUAAGGUAACGGCUUACCAAGGCAACGAUGCAUAGCCGACCUGAGAGGGUGAUCGGCCACACUGGAACUGAGACACGGUCCAGACUCCUACGGGAGGCAGCAGUAGGGAAUCUUCCGCAAUGGGCGAAAGCCUGACGGAGCCACGCCGCGUGAGUGAUGAAGGUCUUCGGAUCGUAAAACUCUGUUAUUAGGGAAGAACAUAUGUGUAAGUAACUGUGCACAUCCUGACGGUACCUAAUCAGAAAGCCACGGCUAACUACGUG
rnacentral:rRNA from 1 species